rnacentral:rRNA from 1 species
UACGAAGGGGGCUAGCGUUGUUCGGAAUCACUGGGCGUAAAGCGCGCGUAGGCUGAUAUGUAAGUCAGGGGUGAAAUCCCGGGGCCCAACCUCGGAAUUGCCUUUGAAACUACAUAUCUAGAGACUCGGAGGGGAUAGCGGAAUUCCUAAUGUAGGGGUGAAAUCCGUAGAGAUUAGGAGGAACACCGGUGGCGAAGGCGGCUAUCUGGACGAGUACUGACGCUGAGGUGCGAAAGCGUGGGGAGCAAACAGG